AAGCCAUCAAUAAUAUUGAGGUAAUUUCUUUUGCUCCCACUUUUCUCUUAUUUUCGUCAUUUUUUUUAGCACAACAUGUUAGUGGUGUAAAAUUCAUAUCUCAUUGUAGAAAUAUUGAAAUCAUAAUCCGUUUAAUUUUAUAGAAACUAGACUUCAAGAUCUACAACAUAUCCAAAAUGCAGAAUUAAAAUCCUUCAAUAUAAUUUUUGAUAAUUUUUUGAAAUUAGCCCUGAAUUUUAUCAUGCUGAAAAUUUCAGAUCUGCACACCUCUAUUAAAAUCUUCAUAUCUUGACGUAAGACUGAUGAAAUAAUAUGGUGCUUGAUUUUUUAUGAAACUAGACUCAAAGAUGUAUAACAUAUCUAAAAUUCAUAAUUUAAUAGCUUCAACGUUAUUUCAGACAAAAUUUUGAAAUUGACUUUAAAUUUUAUCAUGCUGAAAAUUUCAGAUCUAUGCGUCUUUACUAAAACUUUUAUAUCUCAAAGUAGGAGCGAUGAAAUCAUGAAACGCUUAAUUUUUUUUUAAACUAGACUAAAAAAUAUACAACAUAUCCAAAAUUUAUGAUUUAACAACUUCAUAAUUAUCCUAGAUAAUGUUUUGAAGUUGCCUCUGCAUGCUGAUACAUUUUCAAUUUCAGGUUUGCGUGGCUUCACGAGACAAAUUAUAUCUAGGCGUGGGAACGUUGAAAUUGUGAGUGUCCUUUUCCAUUGGAAAGAGAACUCUAAUAUUUACAACACUUUUAGUAGGCAAGCAAACUCAAGGGUGUAAUUUGAUCCAACUUUGCUGAUUGAGAUACUCGCCAUAUUUAGGUAAACAUUCCUUUUUCUUUUUUUUUGUUUCCCUUUUUCUUUCUUAUUCUUCUUUUUUUAGGUGAACUAUAAUAUCUUUCUCAAGAUAACGCCUUUUAUAUAAAGGAGAUAGUCUUACGAUGCAAAGGGAUUGAUAUCCUUUUGUAAUACCCUGAACUUUGCUUAAGCCUAAUUUCAUCUCUAUAAGAUUGAGAAAUGAAUUUCAAAGUGUGUAAUAUUUAAAUCAUAUAGAAUUCUCAUAAUUUUGACUUUUUAUCGUGUGGGAAAUUGAAUUAUCUUUCCAACGAUAUAAGAUUCGCCCAAAUUCGUUAACCGGGCAAGAAGUUAUAGCUAAUUGAAGUUCUUGUUGUAAAACAUCAUCAUCCAGACCCUUAGCGCAUCGCGGAGAGGAGUAUUAUCCCAAUUGUCAGUUUUCAGUAGCCUAGCGCGAUUGUGGCUCAUCGUGCUGAAGUUUCAGGUCCCAACUAGUAGGACAACACAAUGACUCCGCGUCGCGGUGACCCUCAAAUUCCCAUUCAUCAAUUUCCACUAAGCCACCGCGAUAGUGGCGCGUCGCGGUGGCCCAUAAAAUCGGGCUUCCAGUUAAAUUUUUCCAGUUUUGUCAAGGGUUAAAAAGAGGGGUAUUUUGGACAAUGAUCCUACCCCCAAUCCAUCCAAAUCAUAAAAUCUAUCAUAUUACAAAGCUCUUUAUGCCCUAAAUCCUCAUUCUCUUCAAAACAAAAACCCUAAGCAUCCAAAUCCUCUUCCAAGAAACUCAAAAGUUCACCAUAGUUCUUACAAAUUGAGUCAAGAUUCAAGACCUCCAAGUCAAAAGCUUCAAGAACCCUCAUUCAAGAGUUCCAAUAACAUCUCAAAAGCAAGUUUUUCAUCCAAGUUUAUCAAUCUAAGGUAUGUGGGGUUUGAACAAGAACAAUCCUUGCGUUCUUGUGUCCAAAAACUUUUUUUAAGAUAUAAAUUUCUGAAUUUUACUAUGAUUUCCAUGAACAUUAAUUUAGGGUUUAUACCCAUUACCAUUAUUUACAAGGUUAUGUGAUUUCCUAUGGUUUAAAAGUUGAAUUACAUGAUUUUGUUUAUAUUUUCGUGCCUAUUUCUGAAUUUUCCAGAUUUUAAGAUGAUUAUGAAUGUUUUGUUAUCAAAACAUGAAUUUUGAGAUGUUGAAAUCAUGAGAUUCAUAUUAUGGGUUAUUUUUUUUUUCAAUAUCUUGAUUGAGACGAUUGUAAGCUUUUUAAGAUGAUGAUUGAGCAUGACGUUUAAAUAUGAUUUUGAUGUAUUAAAGCUUUACAUUUUGAGUCCUAAGUACAAGUGAUGAGUCUUAACUUGAGAUUGAACUAUGGGCCACUAAGCCCUUCUUAACAAUUGCAAUUUUAUGAACUUCUGUGCUAUAAGCACCUAUGAUUUGAGUACUUUGAGAUUAUUGAGAAAUAUUUGACCUUUUUGGUCCUAAUAGAGUUGGAAUCCACAAUGAUGUUCUAUCAAAACAAAUAGUAAUACAUUUUGGUUUUCAGUAUAGACCCUUGAGUUAUUUAAGGUGGAUUUCCUAAGAGUUCUGAGCUGAGUAUGGGAGUAGUAUUUAGCACCGAGUUGGGUAUGAUUCCGAGGUCUCAUACCCCAGAACUACGUGCCACCAUAGGAUUGAGAUUUAUGGGCCCGAGGCUGAGAUAGUAAUCACUGAGUUGAGGUUAUACUCCCUAGCAAGAGUAUGACGCCUCUCCCCAACGUGAGGUUUCUUCCUUAGGAGGACAAGACGUUGGAAUCCAUGUAGCUCACAUGGUUUAUGUCGGUUAGAAGAAACUCCCGAGUGUCCAAAGUUAUGUAAUUCCAAGAGUCACAGAGUUCCCAAGUCUUAAAGUUUCAAAGAGUCCUGAGUCCUUUAGUUUCAAAGAAGUUUUACUCUCCAUGAAAUAAAAGUAUAAGUUUGAAAGCAUUGUUUAAAGUUCCUUUAGCCUUCAAGUAUUGAGAGUAAGAUGGAGAAUACAUAUUUUAGAAGUAAAUAGAAUGACUCACAAGAUUUGUACUAUAUGCUUCAUUAUACAUGAUUUAUGAGAUUCAGAUUUCAGCUUUUACUCAAGCUAUGUAAGUCAUUUAUAUCAAUAUGCAAAUUUUCUAUAAAGAUUGAUGAUAUUGUUUACUUAUUGCAUUGCAUCCCCAUAUACUCAGUACAUCCUUAAAGUUCUGAUCCACAUAUAUGUCUAUGUGCUACAUUGUCUCAUAAUGUAGGUACAAGUUGUAGUAUGUGCAGUCAAAAUCAAAUAGUUGUAAAUUCCAGCCAGCAGAUGAUGAGUCCUCCUAUUUCGGGGACUUCAGUUAGAUUUACUAUUGUUAUUUACUUUUUUAUUCUUAUGUAUUGAUUAGUGAUAGUUGGGAUCGCGUCCUUGCUAUCUAUAGUCAGUAUUAGUAGAGGAUUCAUAGACAAUCAGUAGAGUUAAUGUAUUCAGUUUCAGUUUUCUUUGUAAAACCAGAGUUAUAAUCAUGCGAAUUCAGUUUUGUAUUGAUUAGAUUCAGAGAAGAUUUAUCAUCUGCUGAUAUUGUACAAAUUUAUACAUUUUAUUCAGUUGUUUAUGAGUUUGCC
rnacentral:lncRNA from 1 species